ensembl:lncRNA
UCAGAACACGGGGGUGUGUGUGGUUGGGCGUGGCCUGUCUGUGUUGCUGUGAAAAUGUCGAUGGACAGGGUUUUUGUUUUUUCCAUUAAAGCGAGGCAGCACGGUGGAUUUCAUAAUAACUGGUGGCUCGGUGGGAGGUAAUGGCAGCGGUGACGAGGUGGCAAAGAGACCGGACGUGUUGCGAAAGACGCGGUAGGCCGUCGACCCUGCCGAGAGACACUGUUUUACUUCCAAGUGUACUUGAAAUACAGUCUAACGUCAUUUAUAUGGAUACAGGUUACAAGGGUGGUCGGUCGGUUGUUUUUAGGGACUCGGCUGAUUUAAUUAUUAUUUUGUUUAAAACUAUUACAAGGUUGUUUUGUUCUUUUUUUAUUUUAUUUAAGGACAUCGAUAAUUGUUUUUUUUUUUUUUUUACUUUAUUGUCGCGAUCUAGGCUAGUGCGCAAUUCCCAGCGUUGUUUCCGACGUCAUCCGGAAAUAAGCAGGAUAUUUGAUCACAGCUGUUUCCUUAUAAAACAUGACUGAGCUGAUUUAUGCCUGAUUUCCCAGCGCCGGGGCAGCGGAGGAGGGUGGGAUGGAGAGGUGUUCCUGCAGGAGGAUGUUGCGCACUUCAAUUUACCUCAGGAGUGAGUGGUCUCUACAUCCACGCAGAACUGCGCAAUCAUUUCGCUUAUGUUGUAGCUGUUGUCUUGUCUAUUAUUUGAUUUGAUUGUAUAUUUGAAUGCAGUUUAUUAAACUUGUUAUAUCCCUUUGAAGGUUAACAUUGUAAGUUGCAGUAUAAGUUCGUAGAAUACGUUGUAGAGGGAGGGAAAUUCGUUUUAACUAGUAUUCAGUUUUUAAAAAAAGGAAGCAUUUGUAAGGAAACAUUUUUUGUUGUUGUUACCUUUUCAAGAAAUUUAAAUGAUUGUGUCACUAUUGCAUCUUUCAGAGUGCGUCAUGCUGUAUCUGGUUAAUACCCUUCCCAGCCAAGCAUACUGUAUUCAAACCGUAACAUUAGUGAAGAAAUGUAAAAUAAGUAAGGACUUAAUUCAACAGUAUUUUGUUGGCUAUGGACCUAAAGUUAAAAUCAUCUGAGAUUGUUUUUCCCAUCGUGCAUUGUCAGAAAUAGAUUGCCUUCAAAUAGCUUAGUUUAAAGAAAAUCCGCUCUGGUUGAUUUUUCUUCCCCCUGUUUUGUACAGUUUGUAAAGCUUAAGUGCGUGUGCUUCAUGGGCCGAUACCUGGACUCGGCUCCAUCCAUCCAGAGGUUUCUAUGUCAUACGCACUUUUUAUUCCUGAUGUAAACAAACCCUCCAACAUGCAACACCGCUACCCAUCACAGGGGGGGAGUAUUUCUUAAGGCUUGGAUCUUUUACCGUGCAUGAAGUUAUUGGAAAGUCUUUAUUAAUGCAACCCGACAGAGGGAACAUGAAAAUGUCACAUUUAAAUCUGAACACAUUUAAUUUAUCUGACUCCAUACAGCACUGUGAUGCCAGAAACUACUAAUCUGAAGCCUAAAGGAAACAUUUGAAUCACUGUAAUAUGUUUGUCAUGAAAUAACGCCUGUGAUAUCCUCAGGACCUGACGGGGAUGAAGCUCUUCUUUUUUGUCAUGCAGUGCUGGAACACGUGCCGACCCAUCCGCAGUCUUCUGAGGGCUUACUGGAAACAAGUCCUGUGAAAUGAAGCCGUGGGCUCCAGUGGGGAAGUAGAACAUAACACGUUUCAGGAACAGAAAAGGUGUUUUCCUCCCAUCUCCCCACAGCCCCUUCAGCCGGAUUUACAUGACACAUGAUGCAUCAUCCAAUCAGGGAACCGCUACAUUCCUGGUGAACCUUCAAUACAACACACUAGAAACGGGAUCAAGCGGCAUUCUUUUGAGCAGAGCUACAGCGCGAAGCACCACGAACGGAAAGAGGAAGUACAUUUGCGGUAGGCCUCUUCGUGGUAAAACUGCCAACCUACAUGUGGGCAUUAGGAAAGCGUCACGUUAGGACCUAAACGGAGCACCUCGUGCUUAUCGCCCUUGUUGCGGACGGCGAGACAAGUGGCAUCCCUCAUUAGAACGCCGCCCGGUGGUGCUUAUGCAACCGAUCCACCGGGGCGAUGUGCCUUUAAAAGCAGUUGGCUGUCAGGUGAUCGAGGAGGCUCCGUCAGCUCAGCCUCACGGGCAGACGAGCCAGUGCGUCUCUAGCCGAGAGGAGUGCGCC